CCUUCUCCACAGGCCCAGGGAGUGGCGUGGGGGUCUUUCAUUUAACAAGGGGGGUCGUACGUUCGACGAUGCGACAGGUUUGGGGAAGGAAGUGACUGAGAGAUUGGACUCUUGGGUAUUGUCUCUGGUCCAGGACCUGCACUGGGGCUUUCCUGCUGCACGUCCUCCUGAGGCCUUACUGAGGCUUCCCUGGAAGGCGUCAAGGCCAGACGCAGGACGUUGUUCCCUGGGCACAGAUCCCCCCCAGUCACUUGUCCCGCACCAGGCUGCACUGGAGGAGGCUCUGAGAUGAGGUUGUGUGGAGGACGCUGUGAGGCCCUCCUCUCCAAGGGCAGCCGCCGGGGACCGCUUCUUCCCACAUCUCAGCCAAGCUAUGGCAGAAGCUCUGCAGAGCUGACGGUGAUCUUUGAUCUCUGCCUGGGAGGCUCAGAGAACAGCCUAGGCCACGUCUGGGCUGCUGGUCUCCCCACAAGUCCCCUGCACAGAUCUUUCGAUGUCCACAGCUCCAAUGGAGGACUGGCCUACCUGAGAGCAGACUUCUCCCGGGAUCUGGCCAAGUGACAGCUGGUGCACACUUGACCUGCCAUCACACCAGCCAGCAGAGCUGGCUUCCAGAAUGACCUACAUUUUAACCGGUCCUCACUGGCCAUUCCUGAUGCUGCCUUCAAGGCCUGUACAGUCGGCACCUGCUGCCCUUAGCAUGUCCGGAAUCCACACCACCAGCCGCUGUGGUGACACUGGACACUGGGGACCAGAGCUUCCCAGACUUGCCUGAUGGUAAUGGUGUGUCCUUAUGUGGGACGACCACACUCCACACCUCUGCGCCUUUCUUGUCCAUGCCACCUGUUCCUCUGUCUGGGAUGCUUUUCUAUUCAGAUUUUGUCCCAGGGAACAAAAACAAAAAUGCAAACCAAAACAGAAGACAAAAGCAUUACUUGUAUCUGUCGCAGGGUCCGCAGACUGACAGGCCUACCUGUCAGGUAGAAAACAUCAAUGAGUGAGGUGGUUUGCGAGGGAGCGGUGUCCUGGGUGGCACGGUGAGUGCAUGAGGGGGCGGCGAGAGUAGGCCCCGCUGCUGUGCCAGGCAGAGGGCAGGCCCAGGGCUGCACAACACUCUGAAGAGAAGUGGGAAAACGGUGUUUUUUAGUAUGUAAUCUCUUGAUUUGUUCUUUAGAGUAUUCAGAAUUCAGAUUAAAGAAAAAACUGCAGGAAGUAAAACAAGGCACUGCUGCAGCUCAGGGUUGGCCUGGGUUGCUGCCCUGAACGUCAGCGCAGGUCCAGCCCCGUCUGCCCAGGAUCUCGUGGAAACUCCACUGAAACCUGCUGUGUGCAGACCCCCUGGCUGCCCUCUGCGUGGGCCUGAGCCCCAGAGGGCCUUCUGUGUUACUGGCUGGCUGGGGGCUCCUCAGGGUGGGACCCUGCCAGGCCCAGCUCCUUCACCUGCUUCUCCCUGAGAAGCCAGGGCUGCCCCAAGAUUCUUUUUCUUUAAGAUUUUGGUUUUUCGAAUAUGCACCAAUUUGAAAGUCUUUAUUGAAUUUGUUACAGUAUUGCUUCUGUAUUAUGUUUUGGUGUUUUUGGCUGCGAGACGUGGGAUCUAGAUCUUGGCUCCCCUACCAGGGAUCAAACCUGCACCCCUUGCAUUGGGAGGCGAAGUCUUAACCGCUAGACCGCUAGGCAAGUCCCUGCACAAAGAUUCUUUACCAAACUGUUCCCAGAACCCAGUCUAGAAGGAGGUGUGGAGGGAGGCGGGUCUCUGGGCCUCUCACCACGGUGUGCCAGGCUGGCCGUGGGGGCACGCUUCCCCCUUUCCUUUGGCCCCAGACCUGGGAGCGGAUUUUCUCAAAGGCUCCUCCAACCCCCUGAACCUAGAGGUCAGGGCAGAAAGAGCAGCACAGCCACCUGGCAUCCAAGGCAGCUCCCGGCAACCUCCAACCCCGGCUCACACCAGCACCGGAAUUCCCAGACUCAGCCCUGAAAAUCCACACCUAGCUCCUGGCCCCUUUCCGGGUGGUGUAUGUGCUAACUAGCCACCUGCAUUUGUGUAUAAACCAGCGGUCAGCUCGGGGGCCCUGCUGUUCCAGGGAGCCCUUGCCGCCCCCACCUCUGGGGGGGGCACAGCGAGGGGCUGUUCCGCAGGCUUCAGGCUUUGCCUGAGAAAGGAGAGGGGUUUCUCUUUUUCCCUUUCCAAAAACACAUAAAGCAGACAUAGAAAUCAGCCACUGUGGCUUCGAGUCCUUGUCCGUCAUCUCGCAGGGCCACGGAGGCGGGAACACGGCGACCACGAGGACCCCCCUCCCUGGUUCUGUAAGGCGCCUGCAGCCGAGGCCUCUGCUGAGCGGUCACCAUCCAGAAGCGCGGUUCUCAGCCUGGCUGCACGCUCAGGUCCCCCGCUUUUAAGAGCCACACUCUUGGCGACACCGCAGGGAAUCCGUAGGUGAAUCCAUUUCACCCGUAAGCUGCCGUGACAUCCAAGCGCUUUUAAUUGUUGCUACAGAAAGACUCGCGUGGCCUCCGCGCAGCUGCAGCUCGGAGCCUAAGCAACGCGUUUGCCCGAGCUGUCUUCCAGACGCUCGCAGCCAGCUGCCCCUUGUUUGAGCCGAGCCGGUUAAAACUGAGCCUUGCGUUGAGGGCUGACUGAGUGGAUCGCGGCGAGGGAGCUGCUGCGCCGCCUGCGCGGCCCCCACCCGGAAGGCGGUCGUCUGCCAGCGGUUCAGCACCAGGUGCCCCGUGAAGCUGUUUCCUUUGAGGAACCUGCAUCCUCUCCUCCAUUCCCACCGGCAGCGCACGAGGGCUCGCUUGUCCACAUCGUCACCAACACGUCUUAUUUCUCGUCUUUGAGGAACAGCCAUUUCCACAGGUGUGCGCUGGUACCUCGUGGUUUUGACUGGCUUUCCUGAUGGCUAGUGACGUGGAGCAUCUUUUCAGAAGAACCUGGCCCACACCCUAGAAUGCAGGCUCUGGAGAGAGGGAGGUGCUCUGAGAAGAAGCUGCAGCGCGGGCAGGUCCUGGUGCAGAGCUGCCGGGCUCCACCCCCAGGACACGGGGAAGUCACGGGGCGGGCAGUGCUGGGGAGUCGGUGGGGAGGAGGAGAAAAGGUUUGCUCACCUAAGGAUGCCACAACCCCAAAAGGAGCGCCUUCUAGAACAAAGGUAAAGUCACUAGGACGGGGUGGUAGGGUUUUCCUUUCCCUCGUGGACGUGGAUGCUGAUCUAAUAGGGGAGUUUCAAAGUGUGGAGCGGGGGGAACAAAAGAAAAGUGAGAGUUUUAAUUUCUGAAACAGCUGUUUCUCCAUUGCACACACCAUGGUAUUAUGCAAAUCAACCUCUUGGAAAAUUUAGAUACAGAAGGGAACUAGACAAUUUCCCCCCAGAGAGAUGAAAAGCUUUUUGGCUCUGAAGUCUUUGAUAAAAGGCGUACGUAAUUCUCGUGUCUACUGUACAGAAUACUGCCUCCAGCUGGGCCUCUUGGGUCUGAGCUGCUAAACACUCUGUGACCCAGACAGGGUUCAAGCCUCCAUCUUUACGCCUGCAUCACAGGACUUAACACGUAAUCCAAGAAUUUCUUACACUAAUUUAUACAUUUUUAAUUGGUUGCAUAUAUUAACAUGUACUAUAAGAUUCUUUUCUAAGAAGCAUUACAUAAUAAAUGGGUACUGUAAAAAGAUCUGAUUAGUUAAAAGUAACAAGCAUUAACAGAUACAUACAAAACUCAGCCUGACCAGACUGGGUGUGAGCCUGUAAUGCAGCGCAGGGCACGGCCUUCCCGAGUGGUAGCCUUCACGGGGGUGAGGGGAGUGGGGGGGGGGGGG